CUUCGCUGCUUUCUGGGGAACCUGCGUUUCCUAAUGUCCUCAGAAUCACCACUUGUUGGAGAUUCUCUCGUUCGUUUUUAGGUUUUCCUGGGUUUGUGCUGUCAGUUAUUUCAAGGCCAUGUCUCAGUCUUAGCUCGAUCUGGCGUGAAACUCAGGCAAUCCUCCAAGUCACGGCUGAAUGCAGGGAUCCGGGGAGUGAGCGAGCACGCCCAGAGAGUUACCACCCUCCCCGUCACCCCCAGACUCGCCACGCUGUGGGUCACCAAGUGCGUCCUUGCAUCAGCUCACAAGAAAAGAGGACGAGUACAGGGAAGAAAGAAGUAAGGGAAGGACACCACAAGCCAGCUCUGCUUCUGCGGCGAGGACUUUAAAUCACUUACAAAGGCACUGACUCUGGAUCUCACUGAUGUAGUUAGCCUGCCCAGCAGGGAGGCCCUGGGGACUGCCCAGCGUCUGCCUCUCCAGGGCUGGGGAUCCAGUCACCCCCUCUGGAGCUUACUCUGACUCUGGAGAUCCGAGCUCAAGCCUUCAUUUUUAUCUGUCACAACUGAGCCCUCUCCGCGGAGCCCCUUUUUCUAAACUUAAUCAGUCCUUCAUUAUUUAGACCUCCGACAUUACGAAUUUUAGGAGCCUGCGGCGAUUUGAAUGAAAGUCUCUCCGGUAGACUCACAGGGCGUGGCUUCAUUAGAGGUGUGGCCUGGUUGGAGGAAGCGUGUCACAGCGGGUAAGCGUUGAGGUCUCAAGCUCAAGCCAGGCCCAGUGCCACUCUCUCUUCCUGCUGCCUGCAGAGCCAGCUGUGCCACCUGUGCUCUGCCGCCAUGAAGAUAACGGACUCUGAGGCCAUAAAGCAGCCUGGUUCAAUGUUUUCCUUAUUAAGAGCUGUCAUGAGCGCGGGUUUUAGGUCCUCUCCAUGCAUUGUCCUUGGUUGGGGUAUCAGUCUCUGCAGGGGCCCCAGGGCUCAGUUUUUUGGCUCUGUUGGUCUCCUUUUGAUGCUCCUGUCCUUUCCAGGUCUUUCUAUUUCCUCCUUCUUUCAUGAGAUUUCCUACACUCUGCCUAAAGUUUGGCUAUGAGUCUCAGCCUCUGCUUCCAUACCUCAAUCAGUAGAGUCUUUCAGAGGCCCUCUGUGGUGGCUCCUGUCCUGUUCCCUGUUUUCUCCUGCUUCUAAUAUCUGUUUCCAAGUGGAUUCCCUAAUAAGCAGAGCAGGGGCAUUCUCUGACAUGAACUCAGUGACAGGCUCUCUGAUCACCUUCCCCUGGAGGGUGCAGCCUUGCCAGGCCACAGAAGAUAACAAUGGAACCAAUCCUGAUGAGAUGUGAUAGGCUAAGGUCAAAGGGAAGAGGAAGAAGACCUCCACUAUCAGUGGAUUUGGGGAGGGGUAUAGGGGAGAAGAGAGAAGGAGGGUAGGAUUGGGAGAUGAG